GACGAACGCUGGCGGCGCGCUUAACACAUGCAAGUCGAACGGAAAGGCCUGCUUUCCCUUGUGGAUUGCGGGUACUCGAGUGGCGAACGGGUGAGUAACACGUGAGUGAUCUGCCCCCAACUUGGGUAUAAGCCUGGGAAACUGGGUCUAAUUCCCGAUAGGACUGCAGGGUGGUGCCUGUGGUGGAAGACGAUUUUCUAGUGGUUGGGGAUGAGCUCGCGGCCUAUCAGCUUGUUGGUGGGGUAAUGGCCUACCAAGGCGGCGACGGGUAGCCGGCCUGUGAGGGGCGACGGCCACAUUGGGACUGGGAUACGGCCCAGACUCCUACGGGCGGCAGCAGUGGGGACUAAUGCACCAUGGGCGGAAGCCUGAUGCAGCGACGCCGCGUGGGGGAUGACGGCCUUCGGGUUGUAAACUCCUUUCGACCGCGAGGAAGCCACCUGGUUGGAAGGGUGGUGACGGUAGUGGUAGAAGAAGCACCGGCUAACUACGUG
rnacentral:rRNA from 1 species